rnacentral:rRNA from 1 species
GAUGAACGCUGGCGGCGUGCCUAAUACAUGCAAGUCGAGCGAACGGACGAGAAGCUUGCUUUUCUGAUGUUAGCGGCGGACGGGUGAGUAACACGUGGAUAACCUACCUAUAAGACUGGGAUAACUUCGGGAAACCGGAGCUAAUACCGGAUAAUAUUUUGAACCGCAUGGUUCAAAAGUGAAAGACGGUCUUGCUGUCACUUAUAGAUGGAUCCGCGCUGCAUUAGCUAGUUGGUAAGGUAACGGCUUACCAAGGCAACGAUGCAUAGCCGACCUGGGAGGGGGGUCGGCCACACUGGAACUGAGACGCGGUCCAGACUCCUGCGGGAGGCAGCAGUAGGGAAUCUUCCGCAAUGGGCGAAAGCCUGACGGAGCAACGCCGCGUGAGUGAUGAAGGUCUUCGGAUCGUAAAACUCUGUUAUUAGGGAAGAACAUAUGUGUAAGUAACUGUGCACAUCUUGACGGUACCUAAUCAGAAAGCCACGGCUAACUACGUG